rnacentral:lncRNA from 1 species
AUGUCUAUUAGCCGGAAAAACUGGUCUGCUUUGUCAACGCUGGCUCGACAGUGGACUGUGGAGGAUGAGGAAGAGGUGGAGAGAGAGAAAAGGAGGAAGACAAGGGAUUCUACAGCAGACUCGGAUGAAAGUCCCACUGAAGAGACCAAACCACAAACCAGUAGCGGGCCUGAUGAUUCUGAAGACUCCGGUGGCGGUCUGGCCCAGCUGCAGCUGGACUUUGUGGAGAUGCUGCGAGUCCGUGACGAACGGCGGAGGAUGAGGCACGUUGAAACCCUGAGGAAGAAUAAGGGGGAAGAUGAUGGUGGCAGAGAGGGCAGCCCGGAUAAGGAGCCCCAUGUGGAGCUGCUGGGGGAACAGCAGGACGAGGAACUCUUCAAGAGCGUGCAGCACUGCGUGGAGACCUUCAUGUCACCAGAACCUCCCACCAACUCCACAGACUCGGAGACACAGGAGAAGCAAAAAAAUGAAGACACGAACCAAGAUUCAGCAAACUCCCCAACUCCCCCAAAAGCAUCCCGAAAGUUUGUGAGCUCUCUCUCCAUCUCCUUUGAUAAGAGUCCCACAUCACCCCCAGCAACAAGCAGACUGGUUUCUCCUCUGAGCUCCAAGUCUCCGCCCCCUCAGUCUCCGAGGGCGGAGUCACCACACAGCUCCACCCACUCCGGCUCUAUGAGCCCCACACCGAAUGGAGACGCAGCGAGACAUGAAAAUGGGUCACCGAGCAAUUUCGAACCAGCUGCGAAACCUGCGUUCACACGGCAGAGCUCCAGAACGGUGUCCUUCAGGAUGAUGAAGAAGAAGGAGGAAGGAGACAUGCCGUUACAGAGAAGCGCAAGUGUGCGGAUUGCAGCGAAGACCUUUGAAUCCAAUAAGAGCUCCAACCAAGAGGAGGAGCAGCAGACCCCGUUCCAGAGAAACUCCCGGCAGAGGCUGUCAUCUCGCGCCAUUCAGGAGAAAAUGGAACGACUGACUCAAGCCUCACAGAAAUGGGAAAUAUCCAAGUCCCCAGUGGUGCACAAGACUGUGUGUUUAGCGGAUGAGGUGUCAAGGAAGAGGGAGCUGUUUGAGAAAGAACAGGAGGGAUCCGACAGAAGCCAUGUGUUCUCCAAACAGGAUUUUCGCAGCUUUUCUUCAGGAAUCUCUGAUCGAAUUAAUCGCUGGGUUCAGAAGAAAACAUUUACUGUGUCAUCAUCAGCAUCUUCAUCAUCAUCAUCUCAUAGUCCUUUGGAUCUGAGACAUGUGAACAUCUCCAUUAAGAAAAGUUUGUUUGAAAGAGGACAAGACCAGGACCACAAGUGACACUCUCAUGGAUAAAGACAAAGCGAGCUUUAAUGAGAUUCAUUUGACAAUGUAUCUCUGCAGUUUCUGAAGAUUUUGAAGGAAGCUUGAUCGACUCUUUCAGACAGUGCCAAGGAUUGUCUCUAAACUCCCUUUCCUUCUGCUACUUUACGUUGGCUAACUCCUUAGCACUUUUAAGGCAUAGUACUGAUUUACAUUAUUUGGGUAUAUUCAAGGCUUAUGUUAUUGGUUGUGAAUGUGUGUACUAAUGGAUUGUGGAAUGCAACAGGACUGUAUUAUAGGGUCUUUACACAGAAACUGAACAUCACAGAGUUUAUCUGACAGCAGGAAUACAAAUAUACAGUUUCUUUGUGUUGGUGCCAGACACUCCUCUGCAUUGUAGCUUGAUAUUUGAGCUGUCGAUAAGUAAAUUAUAUGGAGAAAGAGACAUAGUCUGUGACCUCAGCCAUGACUCAUAACAAUCCAAGGUACAACUGUAAUAUCAUGAAUGUCUGUUUCAGGGAAUCUACUGGAAAUAAGCUUGAUAAUUCAUUUGUAAUGAAGUGGGAAUCAUGUGCUGACGCUCACAUAUGCUCUCACUGCUGUUGUUUCAACUUGUUGGAGACCUGAGUCAUGAAAAGGAAAUGUAAAUUAGAUGUAAUCUAAAUGAUGAAUGUGUCCUAUCAAGCCCUUUGAAAACUGUCUUUAAUCCAUUCCAGCUCAAUCAAAGCCUACAUGUUUUGUUUUUGUUCAUUUUUUCUGCUGAACGACCUGUCAUGUAAUUAUCUUUUCUGCCCAGAAGGGUUAUGCUGUAGAUGAAUACAAUUUUUAUACCAUUGGUUAUGUUGUCUCAUGUUUUCAAAUGAUGCAGGCUUAUGAGGAUGUGAAUUUGUGAAUUUAUUUUUUAUUAAUAACAACAACAACAAAAACAGUAAUGUAAUAUUACCAGCAAUAAUAUUUAUAAUCUAAUUAUAAUAUUGGUAAUGUUAUAUGUGGUUAUGUUGUCUCAUGUUUUCACUAAUGAUAUGCUAAAAUAAUUUAAUUAUACUGGCAUUAUAAUUAAAUAUAUUUUUAAUUAAUUAUAAAAAAAGCUAUUGUUAAUAAUAAAAAUUCAUGUUAUAUAAAAAUAAUGUUUAAAAUAUAUAGGCUUUAAGGUAUAUGACAAUGAAAAUAAUAAAAAAAUACUCUGAAUAAAAUAAUAAACCCAACACUUUAGUUUAUGCCCCCAUUUUUCAUGAGCUGAACUCACAGAUCAAAGACUUUUUCUAUGUACAUAAAAGGCCUAUUUCUCUCAAAUAUUGUUCACAAAUCUGUCUAAAUCUGUGUUAGUGAGCACUUCUCCUUUGCCGAGAAAAUCCAUCCACCUCACAGGUGUGGCAUAUCAAGAUGCUGAUUAGACAGCAUGAUUAUUGCACAGGUGUGCCUUAGGCUGGCUACAAUAAAAGGGCACUCUAAAAUGUGAAGUUUUAUCACACAGCACAAAGACCAGCCACCUGGACAGCUGCUGCAACAAUCGGUUUGCAUAACCAAAGAAUUUCUGCACAAACUGUCAGAAACAGUCUCAGGGAAGCUCAUCUGCAUGCUCGUCGUCCUCAUCGGAUCUCGACCUGACUGCAGUUCGUCGUCGUAACUGACUUGAGUGGGCAAAUGCUCACAUUCGAUGGCGUCUGGUACUUUGGAGAGGUGUUCUCUUCACGGAUGAAUCCCGGUUUUCACUGUACAGGGCAGAUGGCAGACAGCGUGUAUGGCAUCAUGUGGGUGAGCGGUUUGCUGAUGUCAACGUUGUGGAUCGAGUGGCCCAUGGUGGUGGUGGGGUUAUGGUAUGGGCAGGCGUAUGUUAUGGACAACGAACACAGGUGCAUUUUAUUGAUGGCAUUUUGAAUGCACAGAGAUACCGUGAUGAGAUCCUGAGGCCCAUUGUUGUGCCAUUCAUCCACGACCAUCACCUCAUGUUGCAGCAUGAUAAUGCACGGCCCCAUGUUGCAAGGAUCUCUACACAAUUCCUGGAAGCUGAAACAUCCCAGUUCUUGCAUGGCCAGCCUACUCACCGGACAUGUCACCCAUUGAGCAUGUUUGGGAUGCUCUGGAUCGGCAUAUACGACAGCGUGUUCCAGUUCAUGCCAAUAUCCAGCAACUUCACACAGCCAUUGAAGAAGAGUGAACCACCAUUCCACAGGCCACAAUCAACAACCUGAUCAACUCUAUGUGAAGGAGAUGUGUUGCGCUGUGUGAGGCAAAUGGUGGUCAGAUACUGACGGGUUUGUUGGACACACCCCCCCCCCCAAUACAGUAAAAAUUUACAUUUUAGAGUGGCCUUUUAUUGUGGCCAGCCUAAGGCACACCUGUGCAAUAAUCGUGGUGUCUAAUCAGCAUCUUGAUAUGCCACACCUGUGAGGUGGAUGGAUUAUCUACAAAGGAGAAGUGCUCACUAACACAGAUUUAGACAGAUUUGUGAACAAUAUCUAAGAGAAAUAGGCCUUUUGUGUACAUAGAAAGUCUUAGAUCUUUGCGUUCGGCUCAUGAAAAAUGGGGGCAAAAACAAAAUUGUUGCGUUUAUAAUUUUGUUCAGUGUAUAUAGUAUGAUAUUUUUAAAAAUAGUAACAAUUAAGAAAAAUGUUAUCAUUCAUACUAUUUUGUCAUAAAUACUAACCUAGCAUAGGUCAUUAAUACAAUUAAUACAUUAAUACUAUAUUAUUGUUAUUACAUUAAUUUAAUAUUAAUAUUUCCCACUUUUUUGUGCAGAUUUUUGAGCUACAUAUUACAUGAAUAUCGAAGUGUCUCUCACGAUCAACCGUCUAGUAACUACCCAAAGCACAUCAGCAACUGCACAGAAAACUCAACAUCAAACAAGGCCUAAAUCCUUAAAAUAAAUGUAAAAAAGUAAAACAUACUUAGGUAUUCAAACAACAUAAGGCCUAAGUUCAAACUAACCUUGAAACUGUUUUAAACCUUCCAAAAUAGCUUGAUCUUGGGUAAAAACUAAACUGUACAUCUGAAAGUGGUGGGAUCUCGGGCUGCUGGCGUGAGUGAGAUGUGGAAUGGUAAGCAUGUGCCAUGAAGUGAGUCAGACCGGUCAGAGACUAACAGUCCCUCGUGUUAUCAGAGGACACCUCUAAGAGACUCAUGGUGAUAUGGACAUUAGCCAUCGCCAUUCUCUGCACCAUAACAAUGACAGCAGCCUUUUAGGGAGUGUUUGCACAACUGUUUUCCACUUAUCUCUGAGGGUAAAAAUAACCACAGUGAGUGAGAUGGAUGAGCCCCAGCAUAUGAGAUCAUAUAAGAAUCAAGAGGAGAGCCAGAGCUUGCCUCUCGGACAGACAGCCUUCCUUCACACAUCUGUGCUGGUACAGUAUAUCAG